UCGAACGGUAAGGCGCUUUCGGGCGUACACGAGUGGCGAACGGGUGAGUAACACGUGAGGAACGUGCCCUUGACUUUGGUAUAGCACUUGGAAACAGGUGGUAAUCCCGAAUAUUCAGUUUCCCGGGCAUCCGGGUUGUUGGAAAGCUUUUUGCGGUCAGGGAUCGUCUCGCGGCCUAUCAGCUUGUUGGUGGGGUAGUGGCCCACCAAGGCCUUGACGGGUAGCCGGCCUGAGAGGGCGACCGGCCACAUUGGGACUGAGAUACGGCCCAGACUCCUACGGGAGGCAGCAGUGGGGAAUAUUGCACAAUGGGCGGAAGCCUGAUGCAGCAACGCCGCGUGCGGGAUGACGGCCUUCGGGUUGUAAACCGCUUUCACCCAUGACGAAGCGCGAGUGACGGUAGUGGGGGAAGAAGCACCGGCCAACUACGUGCCAGCAGCCGCGGUGAUACGUAGGGUGCGAGCGUUGUCCGGAAUUAUUGGGCGUAAAGAGCUUGUAGGCGGUUGAUCGCGUCGAUAGUGAAAUCCCGGGGCUCAACCUCGGGCUUGCUGUCGAUACGGGUUGACUUGAGGAAGGUAGGGGAGAAUGGAACUCCCGGUGGAGCGGUGGAAUGCGCAGAUAUCGGGAAGAACACCGGUGGCGAAGGCGGUUCUCUGGACCUUUCCUGACGCUGAGAAGCGAAAGCGUGGGGAGCAAACAGGAUU
rnacentral:rRNA from 1 species